rnacentral:rRNA from 1 species
GACGAACGCUGGCGGCGUGCCUAAUACAUGCAAGUGGGACGCAAGGGAACACACUGUGCUUGCACACCGAGUUUUCUUGAGUCGCGAACGGGUGAGUAACGCGUAGGUAACCUGCCUAUUAGCGGGGGAUAACUAUUGGAAACGAUAGCUAAUACCGCAUAAUAUUAAUUAUUGCAUGAUAAUUGAUUGAAAGAUGCAAGCGCAUCACUAGUAGAUGGACCUGCGUUGUAUUAGCUAGUUGGUAAGGUAAGAGCUUACCAAGGCGACGAUACAUAGCCGACCUGAGAGGGUGAUCGGCCACACUGGGACUGAGACACGGCCCAGACUCCUACGGGAGGCAGCAGUAGGGAAUCUUCGGCAAUGGACGAAAGUCUGACCGAGCAACGCCGCGUGAGUGAAGAAGGUUUUCGGAUCGUAAAGCUCUGUUGUAAGUCAAGAACGUGUGUGAGACGUG